rnacentral:rRNA from 1 species
AGCGAACGCUGGCGGCAGGCCUAAUACAUGCAAGUCGAACGCACCUUCGGGUGAGUGGCGGACGGGUGAGUAACGCGUGGGAACGUGCCCUUUGGUUCGGAAUAACUCAGGGAAACUUGAGCUAAUACCGGAUGUGCCCUUCGGGGAAAGAUUUAUCGCCAUUGGAGCGGCCCGCGUUGGAUUAGCUAGUUGGUGGGGUA